AUGGCGAUCAAAAGAUGCGCCGAUGAUCCGGUAUCUCCUCGGCUGCGGAUGGCAAAGCGCAUUGUCAUCAAGCCGCCGCCACCGGGGUUCGACCAACCCGACCUGCCUUCUGAUGUUAUCAUCAGCAUCCUGUCAUGGCUGCCGGUCAAGUCCUUGGUUCGUUUCAAGUCUGUCUGCAGGGGCUGGCAGGCCAUGUUAUCCGAACCAGGUUUCAUCUACGCUCACCUCGAGUGCUCCAAGAAAAGGCGCCCAUCGCUGCUCAUGGUGCCUUGUGGGUAUGAUCCCAAUGAUAUUCAGAAGAAUCAAGAUGACAGCACUUUCUGCAUGGGGUUUUACAGGUACCACAUCGGCGAUAAGGAGGAGCUGAUCCACCUACAGAAGCUACCACAAGGAAUUGCCCUGUGGAGUAGCCCGCUACACUGCAACGGUUUGAUCCUUAUUUCCACCACGAGAGAGGAGCUGAUGAUCUGCAACCCGGCAACUAGAGAGUUUGUUACGUUGCCAGAACGGAAACAUGAAAGGUAUGCAUUCCCAAGGGUGGGGUUUGGGUUUGACCCUUGUAGCAAGAAGUACAAGGUGGCCAGAUUUUUCUAUCAGAGGCUUACCCCGAGCUAUGACCUGGUUUGCAAGUUUGAGGUGCUUACUGUUGGCUCUAACAUAUGGAGACAAACAGUAGAUCCACCAUAUUGGAUUUGCGGACAAACUCCUGUUCAUGUCAACGGUUAUAUCUACUGGACAUGUGCUGGAAAUCCAAGUUGCCCAGUUCCACCCAAGUCAUUUCUUCGGUUCAGUUUGACUGAUGAGGAGUUUAGUUUGGUUCCAUAUCCUCCAUCUCAUUUGAAGCCUGCCCGUUUUGUGCAAUUGGAGAGCGAAUUGUCUUGUGUCUGCUUGGGUUUUACAAAACUAGAUCUUGAGAUUUGGAACCUUAACUUUGGGUUUGAUCAGACCCCUGAAUGGAAUCGACGCUGGACUACCAUGAUUAGUCCUGAUUUAAUUGUAGAGCUUCCCCAAUGUAGGGCUACAAGACCUCCUAGAGUUAUUCUUCAUGAGGAUACGUGGCUUCUAACAGAGGAACGAAACGUCUAUCGGUAUGACACCCAUACAUCUGAAAUAGUGAAGAUUUCUUCAGGUGUUCAAGACACAACAUAUAAUGAUCCUACGUCGCAGAAACAGGUGAUUUUACAUUUAAGUAAU
rnacentral:rRNA from 1 species